CCUAUGGGUAGGCAAAUCCGCCCGUCAUAUACCGAGGCCAACGAUCGAGCCAGCUUGCUGGUGAAGUGACUGAACGAGGUUCCAGGAAAAGCCACUAAGCUUCAGCUAUACACGACCGUACCGCAAACCGACACUGGUGCGCGAGAUGAGUAUUCUAAGGCGCUUGAGAGAACUCAGGAGAAGGAACUCGGCAAAUUGACACCGUAACUUCGGAAGAAGGUGUGCCCUAUUAGUGUGAAGUGAACAACGGAGCAUGAAUGGGUUGCAAAAAAUCGGUGGCUGCGACUGUUUAUUAAAAACACAGCACUCUGCAAACACGAAAGUGGACGUAUAGGGUGUGACGCCUGCCCGGUGCUGGAAGAUUAAAUGAUGGGGUGCAAGCUCUUGAUUGAAGUCCCAGUAAACGGCGGCCGUAACAAUAACGGUCCUAAGGUAGCGAAAUUCCUUGUCGGGUAAGUUCCGACCUGCACGAAUGGCGUAACGAUGGCCACACUGUCUCCUCCUGAGACUCAGCGAAGUUGAAAUGUUUGUGAUGAUGCAAUCUCCCCGCGGAAAGACGGAAAGACCCCAUGAACCUUUACUGUAGCUUUGUAUUGGACUUUGAACAGAUCUGUGUAGGAUAGGUGGGAGGCUUUGAAGCAGGGUCGCUAGAUCUUGUGGAGCCAACGUUGAAAUACCACCCUGGUGUGUUUGAGGUUCUAACCUAGGUCCAUUAUCUGGAUCGGGGACAGUGCAUGGUAGGCAGUUUGACUGGGGCGGUCUCCUCCCAAAGCGUAACGGAGGAGUUCGAAGGUACGCUAGUUACGGUCGGACAUCGUGACGAUAGUGCAAUGGCAUAAGCGUGCUUAACUGCGAGACUGACAAGUCGAGCAGAUGCGAAAGCAGGACAUAGUGAUCCGGUGGUUCUGUAUGGAAGGGCCAUCGCUCAACGGAUAAAAGGUACUCUGGGGAUAACAGGCUGAUACCGCCCAAGAGUUCAUAUCGACGGCGGUGUUUGGCACCUCGAUGUCGGCUCAUCUCAUCCUGGGGCUGUAGCCGGUCCCAAGGGUAUGGCUGUUCGCCAUUUAAAGAGGUACGUGAGCUGGGUUUAAAACGUCGUGAGACAGUUUGGUCCCUAUCUUCCGUGGGCGCUGCAGAUUUGAGGAAGCCUGCUCCUAGUACGAGAGGACCGGAGUGGACACACCUCUGGUGUAUCGGUUGUCACGCCAGUGGCAUUGCCGAGUAGCUAAGUGUGGAAGAGAUAACCGCUGAAAGCAUCUAAGCGGGAAACUCGUUUCAAGAUGAGAUCUGCCGGGGCCUUGAGCCCCCUGAAGAGUCGUUCAAGACCAGGACGUUGAUAGGUCAGGUGUGGAAGCGCAGUAAUGCGUUAAGCUAACUGAUACUAAUUGCUCGUGCGGCUUGACCC
rnacentral:rRNA from 1 species